rnacentral:rRNA from 1 species
GGUUAAGCGACUAAGCGUACACGGUGGAUGCCCUGGCAGUCAGAGGCGAUGAAGGACGUGCUAAUCUGCGAUAAGCGCCGGUAAGGUGAUAUGAACCGUUAUAACCGGCGAUUUCCGAAUGGGGAAACCCAGUGUGACUCGUCACACUAUCAUUAACUGAAUCCAUAGGUUAAUGAGGCGAACCGGGGGAACUGAAACAUCUAAGUACCCCGAGGAAAAGAAAUCAACCGAGAUUCCCCCAGUAGCGGCGAGCGAACGGGGAGGAGCCCAGAGCCUGAAUCAGCAUGUGUGUUAGUGGAAGCGUCUGGAAAGGCGCGCGAUACAGGGUGACAGCCCCGUACACAAAAGCGCAUGUGCUGUGAGCUCGAUGAGUAGGGCGGGACACGUGGUAUCCUGUCUGAAUAUGGGGGGACCAUCCUCCAAGGCUAAAUACUCCUGACUGACCGAUAGUGAACCAGUACCGUGAGGGAAAGGCGAAAAGAACCCCGGCGAGGGGAGUGAAAAAGAACCUGAAACCGUGUACGUACAAGCAGUGGGAGCACCCUUUGGGGUGUGACUGCGUACCUUUUGUAUAAUGGGUCAGCGACUUAUAUUCUGUAGCAAGGUUAACCGUAUAGGGGAGCCGGAGGGAAACCGAGUCUUAACCGGGCGUUAAGUUGCAGGGUAUAGACCCGAAACCCGGUGAUCUAGCCAUGGGCAGGUUGAAGGUUGGGUAACACUAACUGGAGGACCGAACCGACUAAUGUUGAAAAAUUAGCGGAUGACCUGUGGCUGGGGGUGAAAGGCCAAUCAAACCGGGAGAUAGCUGGUUCUCCCCGAAAGCUAUUUAGGUAGCGCCUCGUGAAUUCAUCUCCGGGGGUAGAGCACUGUUUCGGCUAGGGGGCCAUCCCGGCUUACCAACCCGAUGCAAACUGCGAAUACCGGAGAAUGUUAUCACGGGAGACACACGGCGGGUGCUAACGUCCGUCGUGAAGAGGGAAACAACCCAGACCGCCAGCUAAGGUCCCAAAGUCAUGGUUAAGUGGGAAACGAUGUGGGAAGGCCCAGACAGCCAGGAUGUUGGCUUAGAAGCAGCCAUCAUUUAAAGAAAGCGUAAUAGCUCACUGGUCGAGUCGGCCUGCGCGGAAGAUGUAACGGGGCUAAACCAUGCACCGAAGCUGCGGCAGCGACGCUGAUGCGUUGUUGGGUAGGGGAGCGUUCUGUAAGCCUGCGAAGGUGGCCUGUGAGGGUUGCUGGAGGUAUCAGAAGUGCGAAUGCUGACAUAAGUAACGAUAAAGCGGGUGAAAAGCCCGCUCGCCGGAAGACCAAGGGUUCCUGUCCAACGUUAAUCGGGGCAGGGUGAGUCGACCCCUAAGGCGAGGCCGAAAGGCGUAGUCGAUGGGAAACGGGUUAAUAUUCCCGUACUUGGUGUUACUGCGAAGGGGGGACGGAGAAGGCUAUGUUGGCCGGGCGACGGUU